rnacentral:rRNA from 1 species
UACGUAGGGGGCAAGCGUUGUCCGGAAUCAUUGGGCGUAAAGAGCGUGUAGGCGGCUUGGUAAGUCCGCUGUGAAAGUCCAGGGCUCAACCCUGGAAUGCCGGUGGAAACUGUCAAGCUUGAGUCCGGAAGAGGCGAGUGGAAUUCCCGGUGUAGUGGUGAAAUGCGUAGAGAUCGGGAGGAACACCUGCGGCGAAGGCGGCCAUCUGGGACAACACUGACGCUGAAGCACGAAAGCGUGGGGAGCAAACAGG